CGGGUGAGUAACGCGUGAGAAUCUGCCUUCAGGACGGGGAUAACAGUUGGAAACGACUGCUAAGACCGGAUGUGCCGAGAGGUGAAAUAUUUAUAGCCUGAAGAUGAGCUCGCGUCCGAUUAGCUAGUUGGUAAGGUAAAAGCUUACCAAGGCGACGAUCGGUAGCUGGUCUGAGAGGACGAUCAGCCACACUGGGACUGAGACACGGCCCAGACUCCUACGGGAGGCAGCAGUGGGGAAUUUUCCGCAAUGGGCGAAAGCCUGACGGAGCAAGACCGCGUGGGGGAGGAAGGUUCUUGGAUUGUAAACCCCUUUUCUCAGGGAAGAACACAAUGACGGUACCUGAGGAAUCAGCAUCGGCUAACUCCGUGCCAGCAGCCGCGGUAAUACGGAGGAUGCAAGCGUUAUCCGGAAUAAUUGGGCGUAAAGCGUCCGUAGGUGGCUGUUCAAGUCUGCCGUUAAAGACCGGGGCUUAACCCUGGAAAGGCGGUGGAAACUGAACGGCUAGAGUGCAGUAGGGGUAGAGGGAAUUCCCAGUGUAGCGGUGAAAUGCGUAGAGAUUGGGAAGAACACCGGUGGCGAAAGCGCUCUGCUGGACUGCAACUGACACUGAGGGACGAAAGCUAGGGGAGCGAAUGGGAUUAGAUACCCCAGUAGUCCUAGCCGUAAACGAUGGAUACUAGGUGUGGCCUGUAUCGACCCGGGCCGCGCCGUAGCUAACGCGUUAAGUAUCCCGCCUGGGGAGUACGCACGCAAGUGUGAAACUCAAAGGAAUUGACGGGGGCCCGCACAAGCGGUGGAGUAUGUGGUUUAAUUCGAUGCAACGCGAAGAACCUUACCAGGACUUGACAUGUCCGGAACCCUCUUGAAAGAGAGGGGUGCCUUCGGGAACCGGAACACAGGUGGUGCAUGGCUGUCGUCAGCUCGUGUCGUGAGAUGUUGGGUUAAGUCCCGCAACGAGCGCAACCCUCGUCCUUAGUUGCCAGCAUUAAGUUGGGCACUUUAGGGAGACUGCCGGUGACAAACCGGAGGAAGGUGGGGAUGACGUCAAGUCAGCAUGCCCCUUACGUCCUGGGCUACACACGUACUACAAUGCUACGGACAAAGGGCAGCAAGUUAGCAAUGACAAGCAAAUCCCAUAAACCGUGGCUCAGUUCAGAUCGCAGGCUGCAACUCGCCUGCGUGAAGGCGGAAUCGCUAGUAAUCGCCGGUCAGCAUACGGCGGUGAAUCCGUUCCCGGGCCUUGUACACACCGCCCGUCACACCAUGGGAGUUGGCCACGCCCGAAGUCGUUACCCUAACCUGCAAAGGAGGGGGACGCCGAAGGCAGGGCUGAUGACUGGGGUGAAGUCGUAACAAGGUAGCCGUACCGGAAGGUGUGGCUGGAUCACCUCC
rnacentral:rRNA from 1 species